CAAUCUGAUGGAUGGGGUAGGGGAAGAGUACCGCACGAUUGCUUUCAUGUCGUUAUUCUUGGGCUCUCUCUGUUGGACGUCCUGAAACGCAGCCAAGGGAGCAGAAGCCAGAGCAGGAAGCAGAUUUAGGAAAUCUGAGACUGGAAAGUCUACCAGGUUCCAAGGGGCGGCUCUCCGGAGACCUCGCCAGCAAGACUGCCGUGCCCCCCAUCCCACCCGCCAUUUCAGGAAAGCGGAGUAACCAGAUUCUCCAGGAAACGAGGAAUCAAAUCUCCAGGGACGAUCCAGGUGGGAAAUGGAAAUAAAUGAUAAACAUAUAAAUAAGUCAGUUCUGUUUCCUAUUGGUUGGGAGCAGCCUUUCUCUUUUAUGAUCUUGUUACUGUUCCAAAUUUAUGAAUUCUAAAAAAUUUAGAGACGAUUUGAAAUAUUUAAAUGCGUUUUAAAGACUCUGUAGGAAACGGAGCUACAGCCUGACAACCGCCGAAGUGUCUUUCACAAGCCUGUGCUCACUCGGGGAGGGCGUUUGCUGAGUGGUGCCCGAGUCCCAUCGGUGCGAUGCUUGGGCUG
rnacentral:lncRNA from 1 species